AGCGCAGAGAGAGAGCACAGGAGGCGGCAGCACAGCUUGAGGAAGCKGCAGAUAAGUUUUUCUAUCUGAAAGGAAAAGAUAGCGACUAGGAUAACUAUCAGACAUAAAUAGGGAAUAGCUUUCUAAAAUACUGCUUAGCAUUAAGUUCUUAAAGUAGUUUUAAUACGAUUUAAAAAGAUUUUGAGGAAACUAGGCUUUAAAAGCUUGAGAAAGGAAGAAAGAAGAAAAAGGUGUUUGUACAUGGCAGAUUGAGACGAAGCUUCUUAGUAGAGUUAAAAAAAAAAAGAUUUAAAAGAGGAUUGCAGAGUCCUUAAUAAAAGCCUUUAGUUGGAGUGCAGCCGUGUAAACUAACAUUAAAGCGAUUUAAACAGAAUCUAAGCCGAGUUUAAAAGAGUGAAGCUGUAGGUGGUGAAAAGUCAUUUAAAAGUACAGUAUAGGUGAUAAUUGGAAGGCUUUAAAAGGUUAAAUUGAAGGUGGUUAAGAUGCCUUCAUGGCGGAGGAAAGAUUGCGUCAUUCGAAGCCUAGUUAAUCUUAAAAGCAUUACUUUUUAAAAAAACCCAUGAAAAUGGGAAGAUAAUAGGUUAAAAGCAAUUUGGAGAAAGAAGAUUAGAAAUUUGAAGUGGAAAACUGAAGACAGAAGUACAGGAAGGUGAAGAAGAGAUAGAGAAGAUGUAGGAAGAUAGAGAAGAUGUAGGAAGACAAGAAUUUUAAACCCACAAAAUAGGAAGCGAAAGAAAACUAGGAGGAAAAAAAGCAAUUAAGGGUGAAUGUACAAACCUUAGAAGAAAACUAGAAGAUAGAAAAACAAGAUAGAAAAUGGCUGAAAAUGUCAAGUAAAGGUAUUUCAGAUAGAAAAUGCAAGAAGCUAAGACAACUAUUGGAUACAGACAUUCAAGAUAGAAAAAGGUAGAAGAGAAGUUUGAAGUCGAAUAUUGGAUAAAAUAGAACAAGGAAAUUAUUAGUUUUUCAAAAAGCCCAUCAACUUUAAUUUCUGGUGGUGCAGAAAUUAGAAGUCUCAGAUGAGGGUGUUCAAAUUUGCAGACGAGCCAAUUUAGAAAACGUUAAACUAGAAGGAAAUUGGUUUAAAACCACAUCAAAAAAUUAAAAGGACUAAAGUAAUUCUAAAAACUAAGGCAGAAUGCUUUUGGAAGACUUGAACUUAAAAGGCUUUAGAUCCAGUAGUUUAGUUUGCUUUGAAAAUAUAAAGGACUUUGAUUACUCAAGUAUUUCAAGAUCAAGAAUAAUGUGUUUGCAUUGGACUUUGAGCUAAGAUGAUUUGUAAAAUUAUGAGGACUAGCGUUAAUUGGCAGCUGACCCAGGUGCUACACAGAAGUGGAUGCAGUGAACCUAGGAAGACAGGAUUCCAGGAGCCAGAGUUUGAUGAAGCUAGGACUGAGGAGCAAGCAGCAGUUCGUGGUGAAGAUAGGAAGGAGUCCAGGAACCGGUGCGGUUUGGUGAAGGAAGCUAGGAAGAAGGAAGGAGCCCUAACGAUUUGUGGUGAAGCUAGGAAGGCAUUCCAGAAAGGAGCAGCCAGUGCGAUUUGGUGCUGAAGCUAGCUGGCGUCUUUGGCUUGUCAACUACUGCGGAGGAGGCGAGCAUGCAUUGUGGAGAAUAGCUAGCCGACCCUAGACCAGCAUGGCAGUGUGCGAGGCUUCGGGGAGAGCGAGUGGUGUGGUAAAAGUCCGGGCGGUCGACGAUGUCGUUUAUUUUGUAACUUGAGCGUGGUAACUUUAUUUACUUGUUUCCUAAUGGUAAUGGGGGAGUUGUACCUCUGGAGAGGGAUUUUUGUGGGGGUGUGUGUGUGCAUAUAGGCCGAUUUCCGGGUGUUAUAGGUUUUUCUUUUUCAGGCUUAUGUUCUCAUCUUUGUCUGAAGCUUUUGAGGGCAGACUGCCAAGGCCUCCAGAAAUGGUAGAUGGCAAGUUUGGUUUUUUUUCACCAGUGUGAAGGAAAAGUGAAUUUUACAGAACAUACAACUUCUGCAAAUUUUCAAGCAGCUUGUGUUUUUAGUUGGCAAUGAAGUAUUUGGUGAAUAGAUGACUUAUUUUCCUUUUCCUCACCCUGAAUUAGUUUUGUAAAUGAGUCUGGGUGUUAAUUGGGGGGGGGUAGUUUUUCUUUUUUGUGGUGGGGAUGGCAAAAUGUUUUUGAGUUUUUUUCCCCUUAGGUCUUUCUAGACUCCUAAAGGCAAAUGACUCCAGGUAACAGAAAAAAAGAAAAUCCAGUAUCAGGAUAAUCAGAACACCACAGGUUUACAAUUUCUAGAAACUAGAUCCACGAGUAGCUCUCACUUUGGAGGAGCUGUCCUUUGGAGAAAUGGCUGGUAGUUAACUCUUUCUUUCCCCCCUUAAUCAGACUUCUAAAGUGUUUUAACCCCUUAAACUUGUUAUUACUGAAAGUAUUUGGGGAUGGUCUUUAACAGGGAAGAGAGGGGGUGGGGGAGCAAAUGUUUUUUUUCUAAGAUUUUCCACAGAUGCUAUAGUACUAUUGGCAAACUGGUUAGAGAAGGCAUGUACUGCUAUGCUGUUGGCACGAACACCUUCAGGGAUUGGAGCAGCUUUUAUCCUUGGAAGAGUUUUCCCAAUUGAAGCUGAAAAGUACAGCACAGUGCAGCUUUGGUUCAUAAUCAGUCAACUCAGGAGAACUUCAGAAGCGCUUGACUAGGCCAAAUGUUGAAGUUAAGUUUCCAAAGUAAUUUAAAAUACUCAUUAAAGGGGAGGGGAAAUUUUUGGCAAUUAGUUGGCAGUGGUCUAUUGUGGUUGGGGUGGGAGGGUUAGGUAAUUGUUUAGUUUAUGAUUUCAGAUAAUUCAUGCCAGAGAACUUAAAUACUUAGGAUGGAAAACUAAAGAACUCUACUUCCAAGUUGGCAAGUAACUCCCAAUCAUUUAGUUUUUUUUUCCACCAAUUUUGGAAUUGGGCAUCCUGGGAAGAUUUCACUGGGUGUACCAGUGCAUUAUUAAUUUCGGCAAGGAUAGUAAAUCAUGGUAUGGUAUCUGUUCCCCUGUGUAGGUCUUGGGGAAGGAUAAGUGUUGGAUUGGGGGUUGGUCUGGCUUAUUGUAAUGACAUCGAGUAGCAACAGUCUUGGGGAAUUUUUAAAGCUUAAUUUUGGAUAUAGAUGGUAGUGUGUGGUUCUCUUUUGGAAUUUUUUUCAGGUGAUUUAAUGUAACUUAAUACUACUAUAGGAACUUCAGAGCAAAGGAAGUGGCUUAAUGAUCCUGAAGGGAUUUCUUCUGAUGGUAGCUUUUAUAUUAUCAAGUAAGAUCCUGUUUUCAGUUGUGAGCAAGUUUUUCUAGUGUAGGAAAAAUUUUUCCUUUGGCAAAACAAGAUGUAAAGACUUUUUUCAGAUAACAUCCACUGAGUCAUAACAAGCCUGGCAGUAUGAUGGCCUAGAUGCAGAGGGAACAGCUCGUUGGUGAAUGAUAAGUAAAGGCAGAAAAGAUUCUGUCAUGCCUCCAUUGGGGACUAAGCAUAACCCUGAGAUCCUUACUACUGAUGAAAAUAUU